rnacentral:sRNA from 1 species
UUAGCAUGGGAUAAUGGAAUAGGACGUGUGGUUCUAUUUUGUUGGUUUCUAGGACCGCCGUAAUGAUUAAUAGGGACAGUCGGGGGCAUCAGUAUUCAAUUGUCAGAGGUGAAAUUCUUGGAUUUAUUGAAGACUAACUACUGCGAAAGCAUUUGCCAAGGAUGUUUUCAUUAAUCAGGAACGAAAGUUAGGGGAUCGAAGACGAUCAGAUACCGUCGUAGUCUUAACCAUAAACUAUGCCGAUUAGGGAUCGGACGGCGUUAUUUUUUGACCCGUUCGGCACCUUACGAUAAAUCAAAAUGUUUGGCUGCUGGGAGUAUGU